AUGAUGAAAAAAAAAAAUAAUUCUUAUAAUAAUGACACAAAAGUUAAAUUAAUGUAUGAAUUAUAUUCUGCACAUUUAACUGACAAGGAAGGAUUUACCUUAACAAGUCAAAAAGUACCAUAUAAAAAAAUUAGCUCUGCUAACAAUAAUGGCUACAAGUUCAUAAAUACAAAAUACGUCGUAAUUCAAUCCAAAAUAAAAACAAUGCAUCAAAAUAAACUGCAUGAUGAUUUUGAAAAUAAUUAUUAUAGAUUAAUUCAAAUUGAUAAACUAGAAGAUAAAACUCGAGAGCUAUUUUCAAAAAUGACAGUACAAGACACAUUUAUAUCUUCUUUGUACAACGAUUUUUAUAGCGACGAAACAGUGCCUAUAGAUUCUAUUUUGGAAAUAAAAAUAAAAAUAUAUCAAGCAUUAGAUAAUGUUGAAGAUGUUGAAAAAGUAUAUAAAUAUAAUUUAAUUAAUUACAUUGACAAUUUUAUUUUAUAUAAACCUUCAUCCACAUAGAUAGUUAAAGCGAUGCAAAUUGAUUAUAUAAUUUAACAGCAAAAUAGAAUGAAUGUGUAUUUAUAUACAUAAUAAAAUAAAGUGAUAUUUUGUUGUUGUUCUAGAU
rnacentral:lncRNA from 1 species